CCUACGGGCGGCAGCAGUGAGGAAUAUUGGUCAAUGGGCGCAAGCCUGAACCAGCCAAGUCGCGUGAGGGAUGACGGUCCUAUGGAUUGUAAACCUCUUUUGUCGGGGAGCAAGGCCCGCCACGUGUGGCGGGAAGGAGAGUCGCCGAAGAAAAAGCCUCGUCUAACUCCGCGCCAGCAGCCGCGGUAAUACGGAAGACGCGAGUGUUAUCCGGAUUUAUUGGGUUAAAAGGGUGCGUUGGCGGAGGGUUAAGUCAGCGGUAAAGUGUCUGUGCUCAGGACCGGCUUGCCGUUGAAACUGGUCUUCUUGAGUGAGCGAGAAGUAUGCGGAAUGCGUGGUGUAGCGGUGAAAUGCAUAGAUAUCACGCAGAACUCCGAUUGCGAAGGCAGCAUACCGACGCGCAACUGACGCUGAGGCACGAAAGCGUGGGGAUCGAACAGGAUUAGAUACCCCUGUAGUC
rnacentral:rRNA from 1 species